AGAGCAUUGGAACCACCUGAUCCCAUCCCGAACUCAGCAGUGAAACGAUGCAUCGCCGAUGGUAGUGUGGGGUUUCCCCAUGUGAGAGUAGGUC
rnacentral:rRNA from 2 species